AUUUGAAAAUAAUUCAUAGUUGAAUUCAAAAUUUGAAACACCUUAUAAACUUGCACACUAUCGAUCUUUAAUUUAGGCUUUGAAAUAUAACAUUAUGUUUAUCUCAUUACUUAAUGCAAACAUCACUUAGUUGUGCUAUUAUUGUUUACUGUUUAAUUUUGUGCAUUUUAUAUUUUUAAAUUUAUAAAUUCAGAUUACAACAAUGAUUCAUCCACC
rnacentral:lncRNA from 1 species